AAAAAAUUAGUUUAAAAAAAACAUUAGUAUGUCAAACUAAAAAUAUUAAUAUUUAAUAUUUUUUA
rnacentral:tRNA from 1 species